rnacentral:lncRNA from 1 species
AUGGCUUUCUACAAUACAAUAAAACACCUUGUAAGCCUCAUUGCCCUAUUCUAUGUAGCUGAAGCAGUGCUAAAAAAUUUGACAGCACAAAGUUGUGGCUGUGCCCCAGAGAUAUGUUGUAGCCAGUAUGGCGACGGCGGCAGCGGAGAUGGUUACUGGGGCCAGGGUUAUAAAGAAGGCCGUUGUACUAGCAGCGGUGGCAGCACAACUACCACACCAAGGACCAGUGGUAGUGGUGGUUCGUCGGUGGCUGAUAUUGUAACCCCAGAAUUCUUCAACAGGAUCAUUAACCAAGUGUUUAGGCCUAGUUUUUACGAAUCCAAAAUUAAAGCUAAUUGGUCCAAGUACAUGAUUUGGGCUUUAA